rnacentral:misc_RNA from 1 species
GAUGAAGAACGUAGCGAAAUGCGAUACGUAAUGUGAAUUGCAGAAUUCAGUGAAUCAUCGAGUCUUUGAACGCACAUUGCGCCCUCUGGUAUUCCGGAGGGCAUGCCUGUCCGAGCGUCAUUGCUGCCCUCAAGCACGGCUUGUGUGUUAGGCCCCGUCCUCCGCUCGCGGGGGACGGGCCUGAAAGGCAGCGGCGGCACCGCGUCCGGUCCUCGAGCGUAUGGGGCUUUGUCACCCGCUCUGUAGGCCCGGCCGGCGCCUGCCGAUCAACCACACUUUUAUUCAGGUUGACCUCGGAUCAGGUAGGGAUACCCGCUGAACUUAAGCAUAUCAAUAAGCGGAGGA